rnacentral:tRNA from 1 species
CUUUGAUAAGCUAAUAAGGUAGCAUCAAACUCUUGAUUUGAACAUAAGUGAAAUACCACACACUAUCAAAGA